rnacentral:tRNA from 1 species
UAGAAAUACUAAUAAUAGUAGGGGCGGAUGUAGCCAAGUGGAUCAAGGCAGUGGAUUUGUGAAUCCACCAUGC